rnacentral:rRNA from 1 species
GACGAACGCUGGCGGCGUGCUUAACACAUGCAAGUCGAACGGAAAGGCCCUGCUUUUGUGGGGUGCUCGAGUGGCGAACGGGUGAGUAACACGUGAGUAACCUGCCCUUGACUUUGGGAUAACUUCAGGAAACUGGGGCUAAUACCGGAUAGGAGCUCCUGCUGCAUGGUGGGGGUUGGAAAGUUUCGGCGGUUGGGGAUGGACUCGCGGCUUAUCAGCUUGUUUGUGGGGUAGUGGCUUACCAAGGCUUUGACGGGUAGCCGGCCUGAGAGGGUGACCGGCCACCUUGGGACUGAGAUACGGCCCAGACGCCUACGGGAGGCAGCAGUGGGGAAUAUUGCACAAUGGGCGGAAGCCUGAUGCAGCAACGCCGCGUGCGGGAUGACGGCCUUCGGGUUGUAAACCGCUUUCGCCUGUGACGAAGCGUGAGUGACGGUAAUGGGUAAAGAAGCACCGGCUAACUACGUG